rnacentral:rRNA from 1 species
AUUGAACGCUGGCGGCAGGCCUAACACAUGCAAGUCGAGCGGUAGAGAGGUGCUUGCAUCUCUUGAGAGCGGCGGACGGGUGAGUAAUGCCUAGGAAUCUGCCUAGUGGUGGGGGAUAACGUUCGGAAACGGACGCUAAUACCGCAUACGUCCUACGGGAGAAAGCGGGGGAGUCUUCGGACCUCGCGCCAUUAGAUGAGCCUAGGUCGGAUUAGCUAGUUGGUGAGGUAAUGGCUCACCAAGGCGACGAUCCGUAACUGGUCUGAGAGGAUGAUCAGUCACACUGGAACUGAGACACGGUCCAGACUCCUACGGGAGGCAGCAGUGGGAAUAUUGGACAAUGGGCGAAGACUGAUCCAGCAUGCGCGUGUGU